GACUGUGGCUCAGGGGUAGAACAUCUGCUUGGCAUGCAGAAGGUCCCAGGUUCAAUCCAUAGCAUCGUCA
rnacentral:tRNA from 1 species